AGGGGUGUAGCUCAGUGGUAGAGCACAUGUUUAAUCAUGCAUGAGGUCCUGGGUUCAAUCCCCAGUACCUCCG
rnacentral:tRNA from 1 species